UCCAUCUCUCUUUUCUGUCAUCUCCCCUGAAUACGUGAUUGGGGCAUUGGACAGAGAAUUCAUGUGUCUUUGUACAUGAAGUACUUUUGGCAGCAGUACUCACCCAGAAGCCAGCCUCCCUGGGUCUCAUCACUCUUAUGGUACCUCUGGAGUCCUGAGCACGGUAGCAUAGGAGUCAUGAUUGGAUUCUGACUUCCUGAUUACCUCAGUAGUAAAGAAAAUUGCCAUCUCAGAUGGGUCAUGUGGGAAGUAGUGUUUCUCUUGUAGGUCAUAUUCUACAGUCUGGAUGGCUUCAAGGGAUGGGAGUAACACUCAGAAGAGGUGACCUUUAAGGAAGAGACCUUGCUAGCUGGUUUCUUCUGAAUCAAUCCUCAAGUUUACCUGGACAUAACAUAAUCCAGCCACUUACAAAAUAUUCAGCUACAGGGUUUGUCUGGGUCACUCAAAAUCUGACCAAAAACCAUACUGUGAGCCAAGGUAAAUUCCGGGAGAAAGAGGCACACGCAGAGACAGAAAAACGCUAAUCUUGUUUUGUCCCCAUGACAAGAUGAAUAGAAGUUUGCACAAUUUAAAGGAGUUGAAUUUGCCCAGUGGGAAGACCAGCUGAAAAAUAAUAUUGUCCUAUAAUCCAAACACAAAAUAUAAAUAAAAUAAACACAAUUCUUCACUUUA